rnacentral:tRNA from 1 species
GGCGACGUAGCUCAGCGGCAGAGCGGGCGCUUCAUAAGCGCUAGGCCACUGGUUCGAACCCAGUCGUCGCCACCA